GUGGUGCAUGGCCGUUCUUAGUUGGUGGAGCGAUUUGUCUGGUUAAUUCCGUUAACGAACGAGACCACAGCCUACUAAAUAGAGCGCAUUAUGGUAACAUAGUGUGAUACUUCUUAGAGGGACAUUUCGGGUAUACCGGAAGGAAGUUUGUGGCAAUAACAGGUCUGUGAUGCCCUUAGAUGUUCUGGGCCGCACGAGCGCUACACUGAUGACUUCAACGAGUUUUUAUUUUUUGAAUAAAGUCCUUCAC
rnacentral:rRNA from 1 species